rnacentral:lncRNA from 1 species
AGAAGGAAAAUAAAAUAAUUAAAAGAAAAAAAGUGUAUCCGUAAAAACUUUUAGGGCAUGUUUGUUUGGAUGAAAGUGAAGAGGGAAAAAAUCGUUUUUGCCAUAAACGAUCACUUCUGAUCAAUUACGGUCGAAAUUCGAGUUAAUCUGAAAUAGCGUAAUUAAUUUUGGCCCAUUGUGGGCCAAAAUCAAUUAUAGUGAAGGAAGAUGAAGAAAAAAUUAUAAAAUAUAUUUAAUUAUGAUACUAGGUAAAGAUAGUUAUAUGUAAAUAUAUUUAACUAUUAUAUUAAUUACUCUUUUAUUUAGUUAGCAUAUUUAAAUUAUGAUAAAAAUUGAUUUGUUAAUUUUUAAUAUUUUUCUUAUUUAGUUUGUAUAAUUAAAAUAUUAUAAAAAUUGAUUAAUUAAGUAUUAAUAUUUUUUUACUUUAUAAUUUUAUUGUCGUAUUACUAUAAUUUAUGUAUAAAAAAAUAAUUUAGUUGUUUUCAAUUAAAUUUUAAUUAUAUAAAAAUAUAAUUAUAUUAUUUUUAUUUAUUAAAUUAUUUA